AUUGAACGCUGGCGGCAGGCCUAAUACAUGCAAGUCGAGCGGAUGAAGGGGGCUCUCUCCUGGAUUCAGCGGCCGACGGGUGAGUAAUUCACAGGUAUCUGCCCGGCAGUGGGGGAUAGCGUACGGUAAGGGGCCCUGAUACCGUACCCGAUCUGAGGGUGAAAGUGGGGGUUCUUCGGUCAUCACGCUAUUUGCUGAGCCGAGGUCGGAUUAGCUAGUGGGGGGGGAAAAGGCCUACCAAGACGACGAUCCGUAACUUGUCUGAGAGGAUGAUCAGUCACACUGGAACGGAGACACGGUCCAGACUCCUACGGGAGGCAGCAGUGGGGAAUUUUGGACAAAGGGCGAAGGCCUGAUGCAGAAAUGCCGGGUGGUUGAGGAAGGUCUUCGGAUGGUAAAGCACGUUAAGUGGGGAGGAAGGUGAGUAAGGUAAAACCUUGAUGUUUUGACGUUACCAACAGAGAAAGCAACGGCUAACUACGUG
rnacentral:rRNA from 1 species